rnacentral:rRNA from 1 species
CCUACGGGAGGCAGCAGUAGGGAAUUUUCGUCAAUGGGCGCAAGCCUGAACGAGCGAUGCCGCGUGAGUGAAGAAGGCCUUCGGGUCGUAAAGCUCUGUUGCGGGGGAAAAAAGGCAGCAUCAGGAAAUGGGUGCUGACUGAUGGUGCCCCGCCAGAAAGUCACGGCUAACGCCGGGCCAGCAGCCGCGGUAAUACGUAGGUGGCGAGCGUUAUCCGGAAGGAUUGGGAGUAAAGGGUGCGCAGGCGGUCCUGCAAGUCUGGAGUGAAACGCAUGAGCUCAACUCAUGCAUGGCUUUGGAAACUGGAGGACUGGAGAGCAGGAGAGGGCGGUGGAACUCCAUGUGUAGCGGUAAAAUGCGUAGAUAUAUGGAAGAACACCAGUGGCGAAGGCGGCCGCCUGGCCUGUUGCUGACGCUGAGGCACGAAAGCGUGGGGAGCAAAUAGGAUUAGAUACCCCAGUAGUC